CAGAACGAAUUAAGUUCUUAACCAGAGAUACCACUGUAGUUAAAAUGGUAAAGGGUAGCUUUUAUCCACUGAAGGCAAAACAGGGAAAUCUACAGAGAUGCUGAGACUACUGAAAACAACCCCACUAUCUUGGCUUCUCCUCAUGCUCAAAAAUAUCAUUGUUUAUUUCACCAAAGAGCUAGUGCAAAAUCAAGGGUCAUUAAGGGGGAAACCCAGCGAAGAGAAUCCUAUUUGCUGUGCGUCAGAGAUGCAUAUUUUAGAGGUUUGCAAUAUCUUUGCAAAUGGUAAUUCACUCUAGGAUGAUCUUCAAAUAAAGCAAAAAAAUUUUUGCAGCUUGUUUGGCUGAGAGGGUAGCAGGGUUCCAGCUGAUUUAUUAAUGGCUUCAGAGAAAGAACAAUUCCUUUUAAAAGGGAGAAUAAUACUGCUUUUCAAAUGUAUACGUGUGAAUUAAUCUGCACAGCCUCCUGGACUACAUAAGCAGGGGGAAACAGCUCAAACAAGCUAAAUAAAUGAAUCUUAGGGAAUUAUGGCCAACAGUGAAGGUUGCCAUAACUUUUCUUUGGUUUGCAAAUGCCCUCUGCUGUUCAUUGCCUCUUUGCCACCAAAGCUGAUUUCUGAGACACACUCCAAAACUCCAAUGUAGUUUUGCUGCUCUUUUAAAAACUAUUUCAUUUCUCUUUUAAGUAAGGCAAAGGAUGAAUAUAUAAAAUGGAGAAAUGUACAUGUGAUACAUAAGCAGUAGUCUGAAGUGAACCUUGGAACUAUAUGCUGCCCCCUCCCUUUUACGCAAGUGGGUGGGUGGGAGAUUCAGAGCACCCACUCCUGGUUUAGAAGAACUCAAAGUUUGUUGUUUUGGCAGAACUCAGUACAUGGUGGUUUUGUUCAAACCACUGAUUGUUAACAAACCAGGUUACACCAAACCAAAUUCUCGUAUGAUAUACUGGCUUGGGUUUGAGCAAACCAUUGUUUGGACUAAACAACAAACUACAGCUUCUUCUAAACUAGGAAUGAAAUUCUCAGAUCUCCUCCCAUUGUGCAUACUAUGUAGUCCUAAGGUUCAUCAUGACAUCUCUUUUUUCAUAACUAUCAUAGAAUCAUGGAGUUGGAAGGGAUGAGAGUCAUCUAGUCAUGUAGUCCUCCAAUGCAGGAAUCUAUCCCGCUGUCCUCGAGAAACCAUGGUUUAGUGUUACACCCUUUUGUGAGGCAAGAGAAGCCCACCUUUCACUGCAGAACCUGACAGGGCUCAUAUGAAUCAGUAUGAAGGAAUGAUGAUCAGGGUUGGGAAUCUUUUAGUGUUUUCAGCUCAUCUUGGCUGCUCGUGCUGAACACCACACAAUGGAUUUAGAGCUGGUGGUAGCCCUUGCUUCAGUUUUGUGGCCACAUUCAUGCUUAUGCCAUCUUGUGUGCUGCCACAGUGCUUAGGAACCAUAAGCCCAUUUCAUUCAUUUGGGAGCCACAAUGAAGCUUCCUUCAGUGGACAGGAGGAGUUUUGUACUGGGUGCAAAACUACAGAGCAGGGACAGUCAGUGUGGUGCAGUCUAGAUAGUGUGGGACUACAACUCCCAUCGUCCCUGGUUGCAGCAGCUGAUGGGAGUUGGGAGUCCAGCAACAUUUGUAGGGCAGCACAUUGGCUACUCCUAGCAUAGAGACCAUGGCUACCUCCCCCCCCAAAAAAAACAUCCCAAGGGAAUUACAUUUCCCUCUAAAGCUCUCUGGUUUUGGCAUGCAGUGUCCAUUUCCAAUUCCCUUUUAAAAUUACAUUUUGGCUGACUGCCGUGCACAUUACAUAAUCAAACUGCAAAGUCUUUUAACCCUGAUAAUAAAAACAGCAACAGCAGCAGCAGCAGCAGCAGCAGCAGCCCCUCUCUGCUAUAACUUGCCCUGCCCUUUCAGACUACUGCCGUGGGCAGCAGUUAUUUUGCAUCACUAAGCUCAGUUAGCUGAUGGAACAAAGAACCUCUUAUGUUUGUGAUAAUUUUUAAAGUAAAUUGCAUCUAUUUUAAAUCCUGACAGGAGGGGGAGGGAGCCAGAUAACAGGUGUUUGUGUGAAAGAUUACUGCCUAAUUUGUAAGGUUGUCACAUUCAGACACUUUGAAGCAGAUAUUUCAUGGAUGGAAUUGUGGGGGGGAAAGUUUACUGGUGUGGUUACUUUUCCACAUGAUCUGCACGCUCCAUCUGCAUCCUUAAAAUCAAAUAUUGCAGAUGAGAUGUGGGAUCUGGCUAGGGUGAAAUAAUUAACACUAACAGCUCAACCAGGCCUUUGCCAAUCUCAGUUUCCCAUCUGUAAAAUGGGAAUACCAGUGACUUCAUAAAGUCACCACAAAGUCAAGGCUAGAUGUACGAAGUGAUUUGGUAUGAUCCAGGCAGCAGAUUUUGGAGUAUCAUUACAGCACAGCAAACUAUUAUUAUAUUUUUACUGCCAGGUGGACUCUCUCUCUCUCUUCUCCCUCUUCUGAGGCAUCAAAUGUUGUGUGUUAGCCCAGCAUGAGAUGCAUUACAUGGUCGCAAAGCACCACUGACGUUUUAAAACAAAGAUGCAUAAAUGAUAGACAAAUCAUUGCUAUUCUUCUUGCUGAGACUGAAUUAAGUAUUAUGAGUUGUAUCCAAUGCUGUCUGUGUGGAAGUGGAACAGACGGUGAUGACGUGAAUACCUUCCUUCCCCCCCCCUUCCUCCAUGGUCCCUUGGGCACCUUUAAAAUCUGCUCCAGAGGGCUGGGGAAACCUCUGGAGAUCUUUGGGGUGCCUGCAAGAGGGAAGUUCAAUUCUGCAAGUGGAAUUCUCAGUCGGGCAGCAGAUGAUGUGAUGUUACAGGAGAGGCACACCUGACUAUCUCAUAGCUACACCAGUGGCCCCCAUUUCCCAGUCCAGGAAUCCUAGAAUGCUAGAGUUGGAAGGGACACCUAGUCCAAGGGUCAUCUAGUCCAACUCCCUUGCAAUGCAGGAAUAUUGACUAAAGCAUCUGUGACAAAUGGCCAUCCAACUUCUGCUUAAAAACCUCCAAGGAAGGGGAAGGAGAGUCUUCUGAGGGAGCCUGUUCCGCUGUCACAGAACUCAGUGCUUUUUCUACUUGGCAGCACAGGUGCUGCAGGUUUGCCUCCACAACAUCUAAAGUUUGGUGAUGGCAAGAUUCCCUUUUAACAGGCAAAUGCCAGACUGUUAAAGCUUAGGAGAUUUCCAGGAAUGGCUGCAAUGGAAGAACCUGUUCAAGUGGUGAUUAAUCACACGUGAAGCUUCCUUCCACGGACAGCCAUUUCCUGCCUGCUUUGAAAAGGCUUAUCCCAGGGGGAAGCAAAUGGCCGUUUCAGACAAGCAAACCAUGGAGGUGAGAAAUGCAGUAAUCCCACUGGAGGAAAUGGGGAUGUGUGAAUCCAUCAUUACAUAAGCCCCUUGGAUGUUGGCACCAAAGGUAUCUGCUGGUUUCUGAGCCAUGAGCUGAACAGUGUCCACUUUUUUUCAUUUUAAAAAACCUUUAUACUCUGUAGCUUGGACAGCUACAAAGU